CCCUACGGGGUGCGGGGAUUCAGGUGGGCAGGGGGGAGGAUCAGGCAAUCCGGCCAAUGCAGCCGGCGGCUUGAACCUCCUCGCGUCCAGCGACCAGCCUUAGCUAUGGAAUCCGUCAGUCACCAGGCCCUGCUAAUGAUCGCGUGUCUCAUCCUGUUGCCGGGGCUCGCCGCCUGCAUCUUAUGGGGACGGCGCGAGGCGGAGUGGUUGAAGCGGGAAUUGGCGAAGAGGAACGGGGUCGAGGGGCAAUUGCGCAAGAUGUUACGGGCCGUUAGCAAAGUCCAUCUUCCAUCGUCAUUACGGACGUCGCGGGCAACAUUGAAUACGUCAAUCCGAAGUUCGGCGCGUUAACCGGCUACAGCCCCGAAGAGGUGGCGGGGAGAAACCCGCGGGUGCUCAAGUCGGGCCAGAUGGCGCCGGAGGUCUAUUCCAAGCUGUGGGAAACCCUGGUUUCAGGCCAUGAUUGGCGGGAGAGC
rnacentral:rRNA from 1 species